UGACCCCUUCCAAUUGCAUCUUGUAACUUGUCAAGGAGAUUAAUGUUGUUUUCAUCAGAACCUGCCCCUCUCUCCAGAUAGUCCAAGAAACCAUGAGAGUCCAAAAACUGCGUUAUCAUGGGCUCUGACGGCUGGUUUGUUGAGCGAGAGCGCUUCCUCAAAAAUGCUUGAGUGUUGAAGACCUGUGUUGCACUAUUUUCAAUGAAAUUGCGGUAACCACCUAAAAUUGAUGCAAAGAACUUUAA
rnacentral:misc_RNA from 1 species